AUUGAACGCUGGCGGCAUGCUUUACACAUGCAAGUCGAACGGUAACAGGCCGCAAGGUGCUGACGAGUGGCGAACGGGUGAGUAAUGCAUCGGAACGUGCCCAGUCGUGGGGGAUAACGCAGCGAAAGCUGCGCUAAUACCGCAUACGAUCUAUGGAUGAAAGCGGGGGACCUGUAAGGGCCUCGCGCGAUUGGAGCGGCCGAUGUCAGAUGAGGUAGUUGGUGGGGUAAAGGCUCACCAAGCCGACGAUCUGUAGCUGGUCUGAGAGGACGACCAGCCACACUGGGACUGAGACACGGCCCAGACUCCUACGGGAGGCAGCAGUGGGGAAUUUUGGACAAUGGGCGCAAGCCUGAUCCAGCAAUGCCGCGUGCAGGAAGAAGGCCUUCGGGUUGUAAACUGCUUUUGUACGGAACGAAACGGCUCUGGUUAAUACCUGGGGCUAAUGACGGUACCGUAAGAAUAAGCACCGGCUAACUACGUGCCAGCAGCCGCCGUAAAAC
rnacentral:rRNA from 1 species